UCUGCCCCCGCCCCGGUUCUUAGGGCUCCCGUGAAAGCGAGGCUCUUCUCUCCCCGUUUGCCCCGAUCUUUUGACGUCUCCAAGAAGGUUAGGUUAUGAAAGUUAGUCCAGUGCCAGUACCAAUCCAUCUGCCUACAGCUAAGGGAAAGGUGGCUCCGAAGGACCCUGAGGCACCAGUGGUUGAGUCUACAAUGCCUGCUUGUGCCACUGAAUAUUUGGUUUCUAGUAGCAACAUAAGAAGGCCAUUCCAUCUAUAUUCAGAGCUCGCCUCUCAAUGCGAAGGUUCAUCAAGUCAAGGAAGAGUUCAAGAAAUUUGAAUCUAUUAAACCUGGUGGUGUCCAAGUUAGAAACCACAAAAGCUUAUUGAGCACUUUAGUAUUGGCUUUGUUGAGUUGAAGUUACUUAAAUCCAUGGAAGCUGCAUUUGAGCAAUGGCAGUGGAGGAGAGAAUACUUCCAACUGGGGAGAGGUCGAUUCAGAAAUGGCAAUUUCAGGGGACUUAAAAGCUUUGGGGUCAAUAUGGGCUCCAGGAGAAAUGACUUUGUAAUCAGGUUGAGUACUCUGGUUGUGACUGAGGGCCACCAUACCAGGGCAAUAAUGGUCAUCAGCAAUGAGUCUUUCGGAAUGGUGGGCCUAAACAACUUGCUGUUACUGCAUAAAGAAUAUUUGUCCCCUUGUUGAGACCCCAAUCUUUUGGGUGUAAACGAAGAGAUCCUCAAGCUUAGUUUGUUCCCACACUUGAAAGUUCCUAAGGUAAAUCAGUAUUGUUCUGCUGUUGCUUCCUGUGGAUCCACCAGUGCAUUACUAGGAGAAAAGCUUUUGCCACAGAGGCCUGUAGAUGAGACAAACAGGAUGAGGAUGUUUGUUGGAGUCUUUGGCACACAUCAGGGCUCUGUUUGGAGGAGUCUGCUCAAUGCAAAUGUCAGGUUAGGAUAUCUAAUCUCCAUGUGAUUGCACCAUCACCUCAUCUUGCGAGUAAAUAAUUCUAAGUUGGUCUAAUCCAGAGGUUCUAGAUUAAUUGCAUCCUUAAUUUUCGUUAAUGUUGAUGUCUUCCAUGGAAGCGCAUAAAUCUGCAUUAUUCUUAGCUGAUAACAUAGUGGAAGCAAUUAUAGAACAUAUAUUGAGCCGUUGACUGAGUCAUUUUGAAAUCUCAUUCCAUAAUUUUUGUUCUUCCUGGGUGGUAGUGAUUCAGUCAACCACUAGAUAACAAAGUUCAUUGAUUGGUUAGUAUUCUAAUCCCUCUUAUGCUAAUGAACGACGCAUCAAACUUUAUUAGAUGCUGGUUUAAGUGGAUGAAAAGAUCGACAUUGUUGAUCUGUGCACUGGCAACAAAUCCACUGAUUGAUGAGCAAAUCCAAUGACUGAAGGUAGGAUAAUAUAGAUAAUCUCAUGAUAAUGCUACUUUAUGAGCAAUGACGGACAACUUGCCGACCUUUUCCCAACUGUGUCUCUAUCGUUGCAUUCUUCAGGCAAUAAUUCUCCUGGUUAUCUCAUCCAUAAGGUGGCAUCCUUCUGUUAUUCGUAUUAUUAGCUCUUCAAUAAAGCUAUUUACCAGCAGCAAAUUAAAAUUUUGAAUCGAGUCAUUUUCUAUUUUAAAGCUAACGUUUGUGGUUUUCAUGGAUAUAUGCACAUUCUUUUCCAAUAAUUCAUUCGUAUCAGUUAUUUUCUCACCC